AAAUUACAGUUUUGACUAUCUUAACUGGUUUUCCUUUGGUAAGAAGCUGUGUAAUACUUCACUGUAUAAAACAAUACAAAUGUUCCAGUGAGCUGAGCAGAGCAGAAUCAGUUUCUAGUGAGGAAGACUGAAGGAAGCAAAAUCCACAGCACCAAAGAGACUCGGGAGUCAAAUUGGUCACUUGGAAGUUACUUGUUUUGCAAGAUGAGAUAUAGAAAAAUAGCUGAUACGUGUUUCUUUCAGAUUGCUUCUCUGUGUAAAGUCUGUGGCAGAGUGAACAUGAUGACCAGUCCUACUGAAAUUGUACUGUUCUUGGAAGCAGUAAACAGAAGGAAUUCUCUUUAAAUGCGUGAAGGGACUUUUGGCAUCUUGAGGACAAGGGCUCAUUCCACACGGGACUCUGCCACCCUGGAGGUCCUGGAUCUGGAGAGUGCUAAACAAGGGCUAGAGGACAGCUGAGCGCAGGAAUAAUUCUUAUUUUAAUAUAGAGGAGAAGCCAUCCCUGCUCAGGGGUGAAGGAGAGGCCGAUUCUGAUUCUCCAGCCAGCGGAUGAAAGAAACAGUCAAUGGAGAAGCAGCCCAUUAUCUGGACUCAGCCCCCCUUCAAACAAUGCUUUUGUUGACACAUUCUCUGCUCCUUCCCAAGGGGGAGGGAACAGCAGUUGGCUGAUCUGUGAAACCUUCCAGCUUGGAGUCAGAAGGAUCUGGGGGAGUCAUCUCACCAGAAUGUUACCCCAACAAGCCCCUGACUCAAACUGCAGUCUAUUCCUUAUCUCUGCACCGGAACUCAUAAACGCUGCUCUAGAUACCAUCCUGGGCCCCCUCGGAAUACCUUGGAAAAGUUAAGAACACAAACGCCUGGCCCCUCCAGGCUGUUAAAACAGAAUUCCAGGGUGAGGCCCAGGAAGCUGUGUUUUAACAAGUUCUGCAGGGGAUAAUUAGGUAUGCUGAGGUUUGGGACGCUAGAGAGAUUGGGGUGGAGGGUGGAGAGAGAUAAACUCUUGCAGCUGUUAACGCCGGUCACUUCCUACGGCUUUCCCUCAGCAGGCCCAGGGGUUUGUUUUUUUUCUCCACUGUGGACCCCCGUUCAUUUUCCCCGCUGCUGUGGGUUGGGAGGGGAUGCAGAGCAGCAAGGAAAGUGGGAGGGACAGGAAAGGGGUCAGCCAAGGCAGUAGCGCUUUCUGGAAUGGAAAGGCAAAGGCUUCGUGACAAUGUCCCUUUGUCACUUUAUGUUGAUGGAACUGCAAGUCAUUAGCAAGCCCAGGAGUUUGACCCGGUCUUUCUUCGGGGCCAGAUCGCCCUCUGCUGCCCACCGGCAAAUGACAGUCCAGGACGCCAAGGACAGGAGGAAGAGUUAGAGCAGUAGUGGGAGAGAAGAGGACAGGACCAAAAAGUCACUAGGUCACCACUUCAGGAUGUAACAAAAUCUUGUUAAAGUAGUGUUUGCUGGGAAGCCAAUGCGGUGGGUGUUUCCAGGACACAUCCAACAAACAGCAGAGUUUUGCCAAGGCCCCACUGUUCCCAUGAUUCCAAGCUCCACACUUGAUUUGGUUCUGCAGCCGCUUUCCCCUUUAGUUCUCCCUUACCUCACCUUGGACAGUCAGAGUGUUUAAUAAAAUAGGGAGACAGAAGAAGAAAAGUGAUGAAAAUUUUUUGUGUGCAGUCAUUUAUAGGCAUUAGUCAAGACUCGGCACCCCACCCCCACCCCCCACCCCCAAUCUUCCUUUCUCAGCCUCUCUUUGUUUCUUUUGUCCCGGGGAAAGCACCAUGUCUUUCAGCCUUACUUUUCCUGCCAGGGAACUCUUGCCCCACAGCUGUGGAGUCAGCCUUUCUUUCCAACUUUAUUGCCCCACUUUAUUGCUGUUGGGAAUAAGGGUUCAUGUAGGUCAUUGGUUGAAAGAGCAAGGAUUUUUUCCCAGCAUAAAAGCUCAGGUUAGCAGUUGCUCCUGCCAGCCAUGGGCAAUGACCCAUUUCCCCCAGCCUCUUGCCUUGGCCCACUCCAGCUGGCCUCCAGAGCCCCUCAGCUCUCCAUACCCAACCCUGGGUUUCUGUAGUGGACUCAGCUCCUGCCGGGAGCCCCCUUCCUGGUCAGGUGUGGAAAAUUAUUUAAAUUGUUGCAAGAGGUUUGGGGUGAAAUAGGGCCAGGGAUGUGGGAGGUGGACGGGGGUGGAGGUGAAGGUUCAGGUGGGGAGGAGGGUAAGAGUUGUAGCCAAAUUCUACAGAAUGUUCUGAUGUCAUGAAACACUUGGACUCUGCCCCUAACAGCCUCUAAACUGGGUGAGUCUGUGUGGUUGAAGUCAAGCCUUUCAACCCAAAUAAAAUUUUAGAUAAAAAUCAGACCCCA
rnacentral:sRNA from 1 species